rnacentral:rRNA from 1 species
GAUGAACGCUGGCGGCGUGCCUAAUACAUGCAAGUCGAGCGAACAGACGAGGAGCUUGCUCCUCUAACGUUAGCGGCGGACGGGUGAGUAACACGUGGAUAACCUACCUAUAAGACUGGGAUAACUUCGGGAAACCGGAGCUAAUACCGGAUAAUAUAUUGAACCGCAUCGUUCAAUAGUGAAAGACGGUUUUGCUGUCACUUAUAGAUGGAUCCGCGCCGCAUUAGCUAGUUGGUAAGGUAACAGCUUACCAAGGCAACGAUGCGUAGCCGACCUGAGAGGGUGAUCGGCCACACUGGAACUGAGACACGGUCCAGACUCCUACGGGAGGCAGCAGUAGGGAAUCUUCCGCAAUGGGCGAAAGCCUGACGGAGCAACGCCGCGUGAGUGAUGAAGGUCUUCGGAUCGUAAAACUCUGUUAUUAGGGAAGAACAAAUGUGUAAGUAACUAUGCACGUCUUGACGGUACCUAAUCAGAAAGCCACGGCUAACUACGUG